rnacentral:rRNA from 1 species
AUUGAACGCUGGCGGCAGGCUUAACACAUGCAAGUCGAACGAGUGGCGGACGGGUGAGUAAUGCUUGGGAAUCUAGCUUAUGGAGGGGGAUAACUACGGGAAACUGUAGCUAAUACCGCGUACCAUAGGAUGAGCCCAAGUGGGAUUAGGUAGUUGGUGGGGUAAAGGCUCACCAAGCCGACGAUCCCUAGCUGGUCUGAGAGGAUGACCAGCCACACUGGGACUGAGACACGGCCCAGACUCCUACGGGAGGCAGCAGUAGGGAAUAUUGGGCAAUGGGCGAAAGUUGACCGAGCCACGCCGCGUGAGUGAAGAAGGUUUUCGGAUCGUAAAGCUCUGUUGGUAGAGAGGCGGUAUCCAACCAGAAAGCCACGGCUAACUACGUGCCAGCAGCCGCGGUAAUAC